rnacentral:snoRNA from 1 species
UGAUCGACAAGGACUCCCACAUAUGCAUUCCUUGGAAAUCGGAACAAAAUGAGUGAGUAAAAACAAAAAGAAUUACAAUGUCUUUUCUCCUUUACUUGAUCA